rnacentral:rRNA from 1 species
CAACCUGCCGAUGACUCGGGGAUAGCCUUUCGAAAGAAAGAUUAAUACCCGAUGGCAUAGUUCUUCCGCAUGGUAGAACUAUUAAAGAAUUUCGGUCAUCGAUGGGGAUGCGUUCCAUUAGGUUGUUGGCGGGGUAACGGCCCACCAAGCCUUCGAUGGAUAGGGGUUCUGAGAGGAAGGUCCCCCACAUUGGAACUGAGACACGGUCCAAACUCCUACGGGAGGCAGCAGUGAGGAAUAUUGGUCAAUGGACGAGAGUCUGAACCAGCCAAGUAGCGUGAAGGAUGACUGCCCUAUGGGUUGUAAACUUCUUUUAUACGGGAAUAAAGUGAGGCACGUGUGCCUUUUCGUAUGUACCGUAUGAAUAAGGAUCGGCUAACUCCGUGCCAGCAGCCGCGGUAAUACGGAGGAUCCGAGCGUUAUCCGGAUUUAUUGGGUUUAAAGGGAGCGUAGGCGGACGCUUAAGUCAGUUGUGAAAGUUUGCGGCUCAACCGUAAAAUUGCAGUUGAUACUGGGUGUCUUGAGUACAGUAGAGGCAGGCGGAAUUCGUGGUGUAGCGGUGAAAUGCUUAGAUAUCACGAAGAACUCCGAUUG